rnacentral:rRNA from 1 species
AGCGAACGCUGGCGGCAGGCCUAACACAUGCAAGUCGAACGAACCUUUCGGGGUUAGUGGCGGACGGGUGAGAAACACGUGGGAACGUGCCUUUAGGUUCGGAAUAACUCAGGGAAACUUGUGCUAAUACCGAAUGUGCCCUUCGGGGGAAAGAUUUAUCGCCUUUAGAGCGGCCCGCGUCUGUUUAGCUAGUUGGUUGAGGUAAUGGCUCACCAAGGCGACGGUCAGUAGCUGGUCUGAGAGGAUGAUCAGCCACAUUGGGACUGAGACACGGCCCAAACUCCUACGGGAGGCAGCAGUGGGGAAUCUUGCGCAAGGGGCGAAAGCCUGACGCAGCCAUGCCGCGUGAAUGAUGCAGGUCUUAGGAUUGUAAAAUUCUUUCACCGGGGACGAUAAUGACGGUACCCGGAGAAGAAGCCCCGGCUAACUUCGUG